UCUUCACUAUCUUUUUAUGUUUUGCUUCAAAAUACAACAAUGGCUAUUGUAAAAUAAUCAAAAGCUUAUUUUUUUAUCUUGAAAUCUCCUUAAUUUAUUUCUAAUUUUCGUAUGGGAUUGCUUGUUGGAAUAAAAAAAACUAUGUAUUACUUCAUGUGUAUUAAUUCAACAAGAAAACGGAGUUACCUACGAUGACGCGAGGAAAUGAUGGCUUCAUUGGAAGAUGGUAGCGCUUAUCCGAUGAAAAUUACAGUCCUGGGAUGCUAACUACUGCAAAUAAGCAUCAAAUUAGACCCAGAGUUUUCAGUCUUCGCUGCAAAAUCAGGUCCCUUAAACUCGAUAUUGAACAGAUGUCAGAAAGGUGGAGGCAAAGGGGCCAUAGAGUAUCCUGGAUGUAAGGUGGUGUUGUACGUUCUUGACCUCCACGUACCUUGUGCAUUUCCUUACACUAGCAUGCUUAAUCUUGCUGCAUUUGGGUUUUCCUUUUGCAAAGACUGAAUAAAUGAUGCUUAGUUAAUUUAUACCAUGCAUGAUUGAGUUUACAGGGAAAAACAAAAAGAAUGGCAACAUCUUCGAGAGAUGGAAAUGCUCUGAUUGCCAAGAAUUCGGGCUGAAAAGUUGUCCUAUUUAUGGGCAAGGAGGGCUCACACCCGAGAAUAGAGGAGAAAGGUAGAGACUUGGUUUUUAAUGAAACAUAUUGUAUCUCAUCACAAUCUACAAAAACUACCCCUACCUAUAUUAUUAC